rnacentral:sRNA from 1 species
AGCUAUGUCAUGUAUACAUGCCCCAAAUUUUGUAAAGACUUCGAAUGGGGCAUCGGUUGUAACAAGUCCUGCGCCAACUGCUUGGACACAUGUGACAAGUACAACGGUUCUUGCACCACCUGUUUACCUUUCUUCACCUCUCCAGCUAACGGCUGUCAGUCAGAGAUUUUAGGCGUUUGGCAGGAAUGGACAUGUGCCGAAGAAUGUCACAUCAAAUCCAUGUACAGGAAAAGGUAUUA